rnacentral:rRNA from 1 species
CCUACGGGAGGCAGCAGUAGGGAAUAUUGGGCAAUGGAGGCAACUCUGACCCAGCCAUGCCGCGUGAACGAAGAAGGCGCUAUGCGUCGUAAAGUUCUUUUAGAGGGGGCGAAAACACUUGAUUCAUCAAGUACUGACGGUACCUUCGGAAUAAGCACCGGCUAACUCUGUGCCAGCAGCCGCGGUAAUACAGAGGGUGCAAGCGUUAUCCGGAAUCACUGGGUUUAAAGGGUGCGUAGGCGGGAUUAUAAGUCAGAGGUGAAAUCUCGUCGCUUAACGACGGAAUUGCCUUUGAUACUGUUUUUCUUGAAAUUUGUUGAGGUUGGCGGAAUGAGACAUGUAGCGGUGAAAUGCUUAGAUAUGUCUUAGAACACCGAUUGCGAAGGCAGCUGACUGGACAAUAUUUGACGCUGAGGCACGAAAGCGUGGGGAUCAAACAGGAUUAGAUACCCUGGUAGUCCACGCCCUAAACGAUGUUUACUUGCUGUUUGUUUUUCGGAAUGAGUGGCGAAGCGAAAGCGAUAAGUAAACCACCUGGGGAGUACGCCCGCAAGGGUGAAACGUCAAAGGAUUGACGG